GCCACUGGAACAGGUUUGCCAAAGUGAAGUUUAUGGAAAGAAGUCGUACUCACUCGUGUCUGUUGUACGAAGGUGCCGUAGGGAAAUAGUGACAUUGUGGAACAACGAAGACAUUUCUGGGCGUUUGCACGAAGCUGGGGAGAGAAAGAGAGCGGGAGAAGAUCAGUAUUACGAAGACUGUGAGUACAUUGGAUUGCUUAGAUUGGUUGUCUUAUAUCUGGAUGAGAAAGAGAGCGGGAGAAGAUCAGUAUCACGAAGACUCUUGUUGAGCGGCCCCAUCGUUGGAGGACGAGACGAGUGGGUGAGCCGAAGUAGAGCGUGGGUGAAUGGAUGUUAUUUGGCUGUGGCCACACCGUAAAGUUUGGAGCACUUACCGUGACAGCGACUGCAAACUCCUCCAGGACGAAAUUCGACCGGGUGUGGAGUACCGACCUUAAAAAUCACUGAAGUGUGUGUAGUGCAGUGGGUGAGUCUGUCUUUGACGUGUGUGCACUAAAGCUUUGCAGUGCUGUGCCGUUUCCCUGUUGUCUGUACUUGCCCUCCAGGCCGAGAAAAGUUCCUGUUGGAAAGAACGUAGGCUGCCGUGGCGGUGCCCACCUAUCCCACCUACGCCCGCCUAUAACUCCGUUCUCUGGACCCAGCUCGAAGGGAUUUGGGUGUUACCUUAUAUCUACCUAGGAGGUCUAUGGGAGUGGAGGAGCUGUCCAGACGCUGGAGAAGAGAAGGGCGCCACGGGAAAUCAAGCAGUUAAGGAAGGACUUAGGAUUAGUCAGGAGACUGGUGGAAGUUCUGGGAAAGGACGGAAGAGCCCUUGCCCCCCCCUCCCCUGGUGAUUACUUACCAAAGACCUCCAGAGUUCUCAGGCCCAGUCCCCUCCUGUCAAGAGACGAAAAUCAAAGUUUUAGAUUCCCCUUUUCUCCUUUCCUAGAUUACCUUUUUAAAUAAUUUAAAUAAAGUUGUUUUAAAUUCCCUUAA